rnacentral:rRNA from 1 species
AAGGAUCAUUAAUGAAACUUCAAAGUCGGCCAAAGGUUGUUGCUGGUGAUUAUUCACAUGUGCACGCCUUUGGUCGCAAAUCCACACACACCUGUGCAUCAAUGACUCGAGGUUGUAAUGACUGAGAGUAACUUUUACACACUCUUGUAUGUAAUGGAAUGUCUUUUUGUGCUAUAAUGUACAAUAUAAACAACUUUCAACAACGGAUCUCUUGGCUCUCGCAUCGAUGAAGAACGCAGCGAAAUGCGAUAAGUAAUGUGAAUUGCAGAAUUCAGUGAAUCAUCGAAUCUUUGAACGCACCUUGCACCCUUUGGUAUUCCGAAGGGUACGCCCGUUUGAGUGUCAUUGUAAUCUCACUUCUACAACUUUAUUGUUGUUUGAAUGUGGACUUGGAUGUUGCCGUUUUAUCACGGCUCGUCUUAAAUGCCUGAGUGUACCCUGUUUUGCRGCGUAUCCAGUGUAAUAAACAUUUCACUAGAGUUGGUCGAAAGACCGCGUUGACUAUAUGGGCUCUAUGCUUCAAACCGUCUGCCAUGUGGACAAUUUCUUGACAAUUUGACCUCAAAUCGGGUGGGACUACCCGCUGAACUUAAGCAUAUCAAUAAGCGGAGGAAAAGAAACUAACAAGGAUUCCCCUAGUAACGGCGAGUGAAGAGGGAAAAGCUCAAAUUUUAAAUCUGGUGUCUUUGACUCCCGAGUUGUAAUCUAGAGAAGUGUUUUCCGUGUCGGACCGUGUACAAGUUCCCUGGAACGGGGCGUCAUAGAGGGUGAGAAUCCCGUAUAUGCCACGGACUACCGAUGCUCUGUGAUACACUCUCAACGAGUCGAGUUGUUUGGGAAUGCAGCUCAAAAUGGGUGGUAAAUUCCAUCUAAAGCUAAAUAUUGGCGAGAGACCGAUAGCGAACAAGUACCGUGAGGGAAAGAUGAAAAGCACUUUGGAAAGAGAGUGAAACAGUACGUGAAAUUGUUGAAAGGGAAGCGUUUGAAGUCAGUCGCAUCUGUUGGGGUUCAGCCUGGCUUUUGCCUGGUGUAUUUCCUUUCCGAUGGGUCAGCAUCAGUUUCGACCGAGGGAAAAAGACAUUUGGAAUGUGGCUGUCUUYGGGCAGUGUUAUAGCCUUGUGUUGUAUGUCUCGGUUGGGACUGAGGAUUGCAGCGCGCCAUAAAUGGCCGGGGGUCGCUCCUCUCGACACGCGCUUAGGAUG